GGACGCCGGGCGCUGUCAGACGCCGUUUGGGGGGCCGGGUCCGCGGCGGGGACGGAGGGGGACUCCGGCGCCGCCCGGGAGCCCUGUUAAAGCGGGUGCCGGAACCCAGGGGCAGAUGUGCCCGCGUGGACGCUGGAGGGUGGAUGGAGAGACGGGCGGACGCUGGUUGUCUCCGCGCUGUGCUCUCAGCUGCACGUCGCAAUAAAACAAAAAUCGUGACGAUGAGAACAGCACCUAGGAAUGCUCUGGGGACACAGCUAGAGCUCAGACAUCCAGAUGUUUUCGUUGAUCUGGCAGAGGCCUUGCUGCUUGGUCACAUGCCCUGAAGCCGAGGCGCUGGGAGGGGAGGUGGCGCUUUUCUUAACGCCCCUGGCGGCUGUCCCUCCAGCGAGGGCCGGCUCCUCUCCGGCACUCCUGGCCCGCAGUCCCGUCCGCCAAGAGGGAGGGCUGGAGCCCGUGGUCUCCCCCAAGGGGGAGGGCUGCCUGCAGGUCACAUUUGCGAGGACCAAGCCUCUGUUCUCUGCGCGCAUUGAAAGUGUUAAUAAUGUUGGACGAACAUCUACACUGUGCCAGAGUCUUGUGACACCUGCCGGGGAGGCAAACAGCCAAAUCCAGAAUGUAGGCUGUUCUGUGGAAGAAUGACCCAGUUUAUUAAUUAAUUAAGGGGCUGGGGGAAAAGAAAGGAAGUAGGACUGUUCGACAAUUAAAGCUUAAAAGACAUAAUUAAAUGGUGUGUGGACCUUGUUUGGAUCAUGAUAGGACAAACCAGCUGGACACGAGGAAACUAGGUUUCCCAGGCUGAGAGACUUGCCAGGACGAGGGACCUGACGUCUGGCAGCAAAUCUCACCGCCACUCGUCCCUAGCACACUGGCUCCAAGCAGGAAGGAUGUUCUUGAAAAAGGCAUAAUAGGUGUGGUAGACACAAUUCUGAAGAUGGGCCCCAAGAUACCCAUCCUCUGGUUAUCCAGUCCAACACAAGUCCCAACGCUGCUCUGAAGGCACUUUGCAGAUGUAACGAAAAGCCCAAGCCAGUUGGCCUUCAUGGAGAUUAUCCGGUAGGCUUGACCUUGGUGGGUGGAGAGGUUCCUCCAGCAGGCGACCCCAGAGAGCCUCAAAGCGUGAGAACAGUGCUGCUUUGGAGAUGGAGGGGUCAUGUGGGAGAGAAGGCAGUGUGCGGCCUCUGGGAGCAGAGGGAGGCUCUCAGCUGAUGGUCAGCAAGGAAAUGAAGAUCUCCGACCCACUGUUGCCAGGAGCUGGACGCCACCAGCAACUUGAAGGAGCCCCCUGGGAGCCCAGCCUGCCGGCACCUGCUGUUAGGAGGCCUGGAGGGCACUGAGCCACCGAAUAAUCCUGUGAGGUGGGCAUUACCUCUCUUGGCUUCAUUGGAUCGUGUUUUGGCUCGCAGCACAUGGAAUGGAUUAAUCAUAAGCCUGGCUCCCUUUUUCAUCACCACUGCUCAUUCUUGGCCCACUUCUGAUUGUUCCUUUGUUUUGGUGGCCGACCCCUCCGCCCCGAGGAAACAAGGAUUCCCAGGCUGAGACACUUGCCCGGACAAGGGACCUGACGUCUGGCAGCAGAUCUCACCACCACUUGUCCCUAGCACACUGGCUCCAAAUGGAAAGGAUGUUCUUGGUAGGAAAAUGCCACUAGGGCGCCUGGGUGGCUCAGUUGGUUAAGCGACUGCCUUCGGCUCAGGUCAUGAUCCUGGAGUCCCGGGAU